AGAGUUUGAUCCUGGCUCAGAACGAACGCUGGCGGCAUGCCUAACACAUGCAAGUCGAACGAGACCUUCGGGUCUAGUGGCGCACGGGUGCGUAACGCGUGGGAACCUGCCUUUAGGUUCGGAAUAACUCAGAGAAAUUUGAGCUAAUACCGGAUAAUGUCUUCGGACCAAAGAUUUAUCGCCUUUAGAUGGGCCCGCGUUGGAUUAGCUAGUUGGUGGGGUAAAGGCCUACCAAGGCGACGAUCCAUAGCUGGUCUGAGAGGAUGAUCAGCCACACUGGGACUGAGGCACGGCCCAGACUCCUACGGGAGGCAGCAGUGGGGAAUAUUGGACAAUGGGCGAAAGCCUGAUCCAGCAAUGCCGCGUGAGUGAUGAAGGCCUUAGGGUUGUAAAGCUUUUUUACCCGAGAUGAUAAUGACAGUAUCGGGAGAAUAAGCUCCGGCUAACUCCGUGCCAGCAGCCGCGGUAAUACGGAGGGAGCUAGCGUUGUUCGGAAUUACUGGGCGUAAAGCGCACGUAGGCGGCUUUUUAAGUCAGGGGUGAAAUCCCGGGGCUCAACCCCGGAACUGCCCUUGAAACUGGGAAGCUAGAAUCUUGGAGAGGCGAGUGGAAUUCCGAGUGUAGCGGUGAAAUGCGUAGA
rnacentral:rRNA from 1 species